GACGAACGCUGGCGGCGUGCUUAACACAUGCAAGUCGAACGGAAAGGCCCUGCUUUUGUGGGGUGCUCGAGUGGCGAACGGGUGAGUAACACGUGAGUAACCUGCCCUUGACUUUGGGAUAACUUCAGGAAACUGGGGCUAAUACCGGAUAGGAGCUCCUGCUGCAUGGUGGGGGUUGGAAAGUUUCGGCGGUUGGGGAUGGACUCGCGGCUUAUCAGCUUGUUGGUGGGGUAGUGGCUUACCAAGGCUUUGACGGGUAGCCGGCCUGAGAGGGUGACCGGCCACAUUGGGACUGGGAUACGGCCCAGACUCCUACGGGAGGCAGCAGUGGGGAAUAUUGCACAAUGGGGGGAAGCCUGAUGCAGCAACGCCGCGUGCGGGAUAACGGCCUUCGGGUUGUAAACCGCUUUCGCCUGUGACGAAGCGUGAGUGACGGUAAUGGGUAAAGAAGCACCGGCUAACUACGUG
rnacentral:rRNA from 1 species